rnacentral:rRNA from 1 species
UUAGAGUUUGAUCCUUUCUCAGGAUGAACGCUAGCGGCAGGCCUAACACAUGCAAGUCGAGGGGCAUCACGAGGUAGCAAUACUUUGGUGGCGACCGGCGCACGGGUGCGUAACGCGUAUGUAACCUACCUAUAACAGGGGCAUAACACUGAGAAAUUGGUACUAAUUCCCCAUAAUAUUCGGAGAGGCAUCUCUCCGGGUUGAAAACUCCGGUGGUUAUAGAUGGACAUGCGUUGUAUUAGCUAGUUGGUGAGGUAACGGCUCACCAAGGCAACGAUACAUAGGGGGACUGAGAGGUUAACCCCCCACACUGGUACUGAGACACGGACCAGGCUCCUACGGGAGGCAGCAGUGAGGAAUAUUGGUCAAUGGACGCAAGUCUGAACCAGCCAUGCCGCGUGCAGGAAGACGGCUCUAUGAGUUGUAAACUGCUUUUGUACGAGGGUAAACUCACCUACGUGUAGGUGACUGAAAGUAUCGUACGAAUAAGGAUCGGCUAACUCCGUGCCAGCAGCCGCGGUAAUACGGAGGAUUCAAGCGUUAUCCGGAUUUAUUGGGUUUAAAGGGUGCGUAGGCGGUUUGAUAAGUUAGAGGUGAAAUCCCGGGGCUUAACUCCGGAACUGCCUCUAAUACUGUUAGACUAGAGAGUAGUUGCGGUAGGCGGAAUGUAUGGUGUAGCGGUGAAAUGCUUAGAGAUCAUACAGAACACCGAUUGCGAAGGCAGCUUACCAAACUAUAUCUGACGUUGAGGCACGAAAGCGUGGGGAGAAAGCAGGAUUAGAUACCCUGGUAGUCCACGC